CAUGAAUAAACAUCAGUACUAGGUGGAGUAUUUCAAUUCAAUUCAAUUCAUUUAUUUCAAGGAUCAAGGAUAUGUAGCACAGAAAUGCACAUGUUAAGAACAUCAGAUGACCAGUCAUAGGCGUUUCUAGCCCAUUUCUGGGGGUGCUGAAGCACCCCCAGAUUGAAUCCCAGCACCCCUAAAAUUUAAAAGAUUUUUAUUUUUUGUAUCGCAUGUCCUUUUUUUAACAAACCAGAAAAGUGUAAAAAACCAUACAGUACUUGGUUGAUACGUAAUGUUUUAACAACAAAAAUACAGCACCUCCCUCUUGCCUCUAAAUGGUUUGAUCCUGCUCAACUUUCCCAACUCCGGCUCUGAGCUUCUACCUGCAGAGCUAAGCGCUGCCCCACAGAAGGUAAUGUGCCGUAGUGGUGACAGUACCUGGUUUGAACUUCUACCACUCAAUACCAACACAUUAUUAUCAUUACCAGUCCUCAUUUUUGCUGCAUUUAAUCAAAGGUUACUGUUUAUGUUGUUAGGUAGGAGGUAGCUUAUGUUUUUUUCUAGCUAGCAAACGUUACAGGUGGUCAGUGUCUGAAUUGGACUGAGAAGCUAGCUGUUGUGUCAGUGCAUGUGUUAAUAUUAAAGCCAAGGUGCUACUGACUAGCUAACUGGCCCGAUGCCCAUUAACAUUAUAACUCCUAUUGUGUGUGUGUGCAGACAGACAGCCUCAUCAUGGACAUAAGACUGUUUUUUCGAAGAAAAGAGCCAGGUUCAGUCCAAAGAGGAAGAGAUGAAAAAGGGGGAGGAGAAGAGAGAGUGCAGUCAGGAAGAACCAGGCAGUACUGGAGAGCUUAAUCCGCUAUGGGAUGUCAGCCUGGUAUGGAAACCUGACUGUAAAGAUGAGAAGCAAACUGGCUUGUUUGGUGCACACGGCCAUGAAGGUGAUGGGGAAAAAUGACUACCAAUCCUUGCAGUCCGUUUAUGAGCGAACGGUUCUGAGACAAGCUCAGAGGACAGUGACUGAACCAUCACAUAUCCUUCACUCAGAAUACAAGCUCCUUCCCUCAGGCAGACGGUACAGAGUCCCCAACUGAAGACUCAACCGUUUUAAGAACUCAUUUGUUCCCACCUCCAUCAAACUCCUAAACAAUGCUGCUUCGGCCGAAGAUUGUGCAAUUAUUUUUAUUUUUUAUAGCGUAUGUUUGUGUCAUGUGUGACCUUUGGGACAUGUGCAAUUCUGUUUUAUGUGCAAUACUGUUUUUAUUUUUUAUGUGUUUUAUGUGCAAUACUGCUUUUAUGUGUUUCAUGCACAAUAUUGUUUUUAUGUGUUUUUUGUGCAAUACUGGUUGCACAGCUCUGAGUCCAAGACAAAUUUCCCCAAGUGGGACAAUAAAGUAUAGGGUCAUUCCGUGUGGUUUCACCAGAUGGUGGUUGCUGCACCAUUUUCAAAUGAGUCCUAAAUUUGUAUGCCAUUAGAUAGUCACAAUUUGGGCUAUAAAAAGCCUCGCCAGCG